GACGAACGCUGGCGGCGUGCUUAACACAUGCAAGUCGAACGGAAAGGCCCUGCUAUUGUGGGGUGCUCGAGUGGCGAACGGGUGAGUAACACGUGAGUAACCUGCCCUUGACUUUGGGAUAACUUCAGGUAACUGGGGCUCAUACUGGAUAGGAGCUCCUGCUGCAUGGUGGGGGCUGGAAAGUUGCGGCGGUUGGGGCUGGUCUCGCGGGUUAUCAGCUUGUUGGUGGGGUAGUGGCUUACCAAGGCUCUGACGGGUAGCCGGCCUGAGAGGGGGACCGGGGCCAUGAGUACUGAGGUACGGCGCAGUGGCGUACGGUAGGCAACAGGGGGAAGCAUUGCACAGUGAGCGCGAGCGUGAGACGACGACGCCGCGGGCGUGAUGACGUCCUGCGGGUUGUGAAAAGCUUUCGGCUGAGACGAAGCGUUAGUGACGGUAAUGGGUAAAGAAGCACCGGCUAACUACGUG
rnacentral:rRNA from 1 species